GGGAAGUCCCUCCUCAUGUCCUGGAAGUAGCUGACCGGACACCAGUGGUCCGUGGCUCCAUAAUAGAAAAUGAGCUGCAACAGAACCAGGCAGAACUUGGAGGUUCUGAUGGAAGCGGUACAUGGAGUUCACUGCAACCAGAACCAGAACCAGAGCCAUGAAGGCGAGAGCCGAGCAGCGGAGGGAGAACGUUCAUCAUGUCGGAGUUUCAGAGCAUCAAACCUUCAGCAAAAUCACUGAAUCUCACGUACUUCAGUCUGUACUCUGGAGGAAGUACUGGAGCUUAGCUCAGUAUCUCCUGAGCAGAGGCGGCCCUAGCCUGUUUGGUGCCCUGGGCGACCCACCGUCCCGGCGCCCCCUCGCCUCCCCCAGGGCGACAAGGGGUUUGUUUUGUGGCUGUUGGUGGUGUGAAGGUCAUCUGUGUCAUCCAGUUUGUCUUUUUAUUUGACAAAAUCUUAUUUCAUACAAACAUUUCCCUCAGCUCUAAUUUCUAUCCCUCAGUCUCUAAUAAAUGAAACAUGAGGGCUUUAAAAUGUGCAGACAUUAAAAUGUCUUCAAAUAAACGUUUUCAUAACAUCCAAAUCUGUAGCAUCUCGUACCACAUUGUCUCCAAUAGAGCUUUAAUAUCAAACAUUGAAUAUAGAAGAAAUGAGGCUUCUGUGCUGACAGUGUGAAUUACAGUCGGCUCAGACUGUCCUCAACAUCAACAAUUUACUAAACUAUAAUGUUUAAAGUCUUCAGUCUUGGUUUUACUCUUUCACUCUGGGCAUAAACAAAAUCAUUUGCAAACCUUAAGUAAUUAACCUUAAACAUAUGAACAUGCUUUGCAAAAUACUUCUUAGCACUUAUUUCUUUGCAAUUAGUUAUCACUGAAUAAAUCACAUAGCUUCACAAACGUUUGCUAUGUGGAGCAGAUUAACAUGGCGUCCUGCCUUCAAGACAAUACACAGGGCACAGCUGGCCCACCUCUACCAGCUACCCCUCACAAACUGCCGCCCUGGGCAGUUGCCCACAUAGACACGAACACACAGACUCCUCAUGGAGUGGGUCGGCCGCCAUAUUGAGUGUGGCCUUUCUGCCAGUUAGCUAACACAAGUAACUGGACUGAACUUCACAAAGUGACGUUCUACAAAGUAUUUUAAGUUCAUUCCCGUCAUUGACACAUUUUCUCUCACACACUGAUACAUUUGGUAAUCAAAGAAACGACCAAAGACAGAGUUUCUAACUUUUAAUGUGAUUAUUUGUUUUGGGGGAAUUUCUGAAUAAAGAGAAAAAUGUUUUGAUUUGAUAGAAA